rnacentral:lncRNA from 1 species
CUCGAGCUAGAUUAAAAAAAAAAAACAGGCAGAAGACACAAAAUCCAAAAUGAGAGAGGAAACAUUACAACCAAUGCCACAGAAAUAUGAAAGAAUCAUAAGAGACUAUUGUGAAUAAUUAUAUGCCAUUAAAUGAAUAACUUGGAAGAAAUAGAUAAAUUCAUAGAACACCCAAGCUACCAGACUGAAUCAUGAGGGAAUGGAAAAUGUAAACAGAUAUGCUAGUAAGAAGAUUGAAUCAGUAAUCCUAAAAUUUCCAAUAAAGAAAAUCCCAGGACAAGAUGGCUUCACUACUGAAUUCAUCCAAACAUUUAAGAAUUAAAGCCAAUCCUUCUUAAACUCUUCAAAAAAUUGGAGAAAAGCAAACACUGCAAACUUGUCAUUGACUCCAGAACUUCCCUAAUACCAAAGCCAGAUGAAGACCCUACAAGAAAACUACAGACCAAUAUCCCUAAUGAAUAUACAUCAAAAAAUCCUCAUCAAAAUACUAUCAAUCAGAAUUUAAUCACAUUAAAAUGACAACACAUCAUGACUACACGGGAUUUUACCUGGGAUGCAAGAAUGAGUCAACAUACGAAAGUCAAUGAAUAUGAUAAACCACAUUAAGAGAACAAGGAAUAGGCCAGGUGCGGUGGCUUACGCCUGUAAUCUCAACACUUUGGGAGGCCGAGGCAGGUGGAUCACGAGGUCAGGAGAUCGAGACCAUCCUGGCUAACAUGGUGAAACCCCGUCUCUACUAAAAAAUACAAAAAAAAACAGCCGGGCGAGGUGGCGGGCGCCUGUAGUCCCAGCUACUCGGGAGGCUGAGGCAGGAGAAUGGUGUAAACCCCGGAGGCGGAGCUUGCAGUGAGCUGAGAUCCGUCCACUGCACUCCAGCCUGGGCGACAGAGCAAGACUCCGUCUCAAAAGAAAAAAAAAAAAAAGACAGAGAUUUUAAGAAGGGAUUUUUAAAAAGAGACGCAGCUUGCUGUCUACAAGAGAUGCCCUCUAAAUAUAGAGUCACAAAUAGGUGGAAAGCAAAUGGAUAGAAAAUUAUACCAGGGGCGGAGCAAGAAGGCCUUAAUAGAGCGGCUCCAGCCUUCAACUCCCAGCCAGC